GCAGCCAUUACUGUUUUAACAAAGAAAAUUUCUAAAGACACAGUUAAAAAGGACAAAUUCUUAAGUGCUGAAGUGCCAUUGCCUACUCUAUUGACUAUUUUGUUGAAACACUGGCAUCAUACCAAUGUUGCAGAUUCUCUAAGAUUUAUGAGAGUUUCAGAAGAGUCACCAAUAGUCUUUAUGACUGAUGACUCAAUGGCUGAAAAGAAUGCCCUGAAAAAUGUUCAUCCUUCUUCGAUUCAGCAGCUUCUUUGUCAUUUUCAUGUUGCUCAGGCGGAGUGGAGAUGGAUACAUUGCUGUAAGAAUAUUGACAUGGAACUAAAGCCAGUGCUCAUGAAGAUGUUUCAAGCAGUCAUGUAUGCUGUGGAAGAAAGUAAAUUACAGUCAGCCUAUAAUGAAAUGAAAAACGCCACAGCAGUCCAUCCUGAAUAUUUGAGACGCUUUGAAACUUUCUUCCAGCGGCGGAAAGAAUGGACCUCUGUAGAUCGCCGAAAAUAUUUGAUACGAGGCCACAAUACCAAUAAUUUUUCCGAGGCCUCUAUCCGAAUACUGAAAGAUGUUGUGCUAUAUCGAAAGAAGGCAUUUAAUAGUGUGGCUCUUGUUGACUUUGCUGUGUCAGUGUGGGACGACUAUUUACUAAUGAAAUUGUUAGAUUUUGCUAAUGGUAGAAGGACCACUCUGUACAAAGUCACUGAAUACCUCAUUGGCCAUUGUACAUGCGUGAGUGGGCGGACUGGUGCUUUUUGUAAGCACCACUUAUAUUUGCAUCAAAAAUUAAAUGUGCCCAUCCCAACAGUGCCAAUAUUAGAUGCGAAUGAGCGACACAAUUUGGCCUUUUUAGCAUUAGGUGAGAAAUGCUCUCCAGUAGAGUUCUAUAAAAAAUGGAUACCAUUGCUGAUAACAACAACGUAAAAUCUUUUGAUAUACUUGCAGUUAAUAUGGAGAAUUCCAUAAUUCGGCCUGAACACCAGGAAUUGCCAACUGUUGUUCCUGCAUCAAUAGAAGAGAAAAAUGAGCUUUUGCAACAGUUUACAAUUUUACUUAAAGGCGACAUUAGCAAAUCAACUGUUUGCAAAUUAACUAAUGCAAUAAAAAAUACUGAUAAAUCCAGAGCUGGACUUGCAUUGGUUAAAAUGGCAUAUGCUUUGCAGGCGACUAAAAGAACGAAAAGGUCAAAAAUUAAAGUUCAACCAGCCUCAAUAGCCCGAAGACGUUAUGGUGUAUCUAGAACGAGCAAUAGAAUCCAACAAGGAAGAAAAAAGGAAACAUUCAUUAUCAGAUAAUAUUAAAAAAAAAUAUCCGGCAUGCUAAGAAGCAUUGUGCUUAAUCACUAACUUUUGUUUUCUAAAUUCCAUUUUGCUUUUUCUGUAAAUAUUUCUUUUUUUAUUUCCGUUUUACUUCAGAAACAGACAGUUG